ACAGAGGUCCCAAGCGUUGUUCGGAUUCACUGGGCGUAAAGGGUGCGUAGGUGGUGGGGUAAGUUAGAGGUGAAAGCCCAGGGCUCAACCCUGGAAUUGCCUUUAAGACUGCAUCGCUUGAACAUCGGAGAGGUAAGUGGAAUUCCGAGUGUAGAGGUGAAAUUCGUAGAUAUUCGGAAGAACACCAGUGGCGAAGGCGACUUACUGGACGAUUGUUGACGCUGAGGUGUGAAAGCGUGGGGAGCAAACAGGA
rnacentral:rRNA from 1 species